ACUGUCUAUGGCCACCCUGAACGCGCCCAAUGCCGUCUGAUCUCGGAAGCUACGCAGGGUCGGCCCUGGUUAGUACUUGGAUGGGAGACCACCUAGGAAGACCAGGUGUUUAAGGUG
rnacentral:rRNA from 1 species